CACAUCCUUUAUGGUGGCACUGAGAGAACGGUCUUGUUGGACGGGAUCCUGCACCCCAAAAUCUUCUGCCUCUUUCAGGCCGGUGACAACAUUUCAGGGAACGAGGAAAUCAAAGAUUAAGGUCCACCUGCCCAACUUUCUGUUUCCUUUCUCCUCACGACUUCGCUUUUUCAGAGAAGUUGUCCUCUGUUUCUCAUUAAAAAGCCCAAAGGCAUGACUGGAUUGUCAACGUUUUCAUUCGUACCUAGCUCAGACGCCCUGUGGCCUGUAGUGUUGCUUUCGAGACCACAUCCUGACCAGACCCUGCUAAAGCCGAUCUUUCACUGAACAACAGAAAUAUGAGCUGCCCAGAAAGAAACACAUCUUAAAGAGUUCGGACUUCUUUACGUGGAGAAAAGAUUUUAAGGAGGAUUUGAGGUGAUAGAUUAUAUACUGCAGGUUGGUCUGCAUCGUAAUGAUUGGCAAGGUGCUUCUGUGGGCUCUCAUCGGUUCCUGUACAUCAGUCACUGUGAUCACACCCCAAACCCGAGUCUGGGUCUAUUCCGGCAAGACUGCUGUCCUUCCAGUUUUAAUUCAGUUCCAGAAUCCAAAGUGGGAAUAUUUUCAUGUCCGGUGGGAAUUCCUCACACAGAAUUGCCCCGUCCUUUUCUAUGUCAUGAAUUGCUCCACUCCUCCUCCUGGGUCACAGAAACGUACCUGCGACCAUCAGAUGGAGAUGGAAGGACGCUUUUCAGGAAGGGUCAACAUUUCUAGGGAUGUUUCCCUGGAGCUGAGGGAUGCAAACCCUGAGGAUGCCGGAAUAUAUGAGGUAACCAUAUACGCACUUGAUGAGUCUGGCAGAGGACAAGUGGAACUUGUGUUCAUGGAAGGUACCACAAAAGAUCUCAGGUUCAUGGUGACCAAAAACCACAGCCCGGUGGGAGAAGGAGGGGUCCAUACGCCUGGAUUACGUACUUCAGGGAAGUCUAGUCCUUCAAACAAAGGAGCAUAUCUGUUCUUUGCAAGGGAAUAUUACGGCAUAAGAGGAAGAGGCCCACCUAGAGACUGGUUGAAGAUUCACCUUUGAUUAGGGUGGACACCCUCAGUGAUCAUUUCACUUACUCCUCUUGUGGAUCGACAGACCGUUUUCCAGAUAACUUUCUACAAUUUUCUCCCAGCUUUGCAAAAUCCGACAUACCAAGCAACAUAAACUUUGAUGUGGUAUGAGCUGGAUGCCCUGCCUUGUGAUGCUAGGUGAGGGAUCCUGGAAGGACCACUUCUAAAGUCCAGGGAUGACCAUUCCAAAACACUCUGGCUCAUGUGGACAGAGAGGCAGUGACCCAUAUUCAGCUUCAAAUAAUUUCUGAAAACAUAUUUAUACAGGUUUUCCUUGGCUGGAACUGAAACCCCUCUGCUUUUGUACUACUGCAGCUUUUUUUUAUACACACGUACACACACACACAGUUUUCAAGCUGUUAUAUAUUGUUUAAAUGCAGUAUUAAUUAAUGUCUAUGUACGAUUUCUUAAUUAUUUUAAUUCAUCAAGAAGCAGGCAAGCAGGGUAAACAAAAUAAACAACUAUUACGACUGCUUGGUCUCCUGACC
ensembl:lncRNA